GUGAAAGCCCGGGGCUCAACCCCGGGUCUGCAGUGGGUACGGGCAGACUAGAGUGCAGUAGGGGAGACUGGAAUUCCUGGUGUAGCGGUGAAAUGCGCAGAUAUCAGGAGGAACACCGAUGGCGAAGGCAGGUCUCUGGGCUGUUACUGACGCUGAGGAGCGAAAGCAUGGGGAGCGAACAGGAUUAGAUACCCUGGUAGUCCAUGCCGUAAACGUUGGGCACUAGGUGUGGGGGACAUUCCACGUUCUCCGCGCCGUAGCUAACGCAUUAAGUGCCCCGCCUGGGGAGUACGGCCGCAAGGCUAAAACUCAAAGGAAUUGACGGGGGCCCGCACAAGCGGCGGAGCAUGCGGAUUAAUUCGAUGCAACGCGAAGAACCUUACCAAGGCUUGACAUCCACCGGACCGCACUGGAGACAGUGCUUCCCUUCGGGGCUGGUGGACAGGUGGUGCAUGGUUGUCGUCAGCUCGUGUCGUGAGAUGUUGGGUUAAGUCCCGCAACGAGCGCAACCCUCGUUCUAUGUUGCCAGCACGUGAUGGUGGGGACUCAUAGGAGACUGCCGGGGUCAACUCGGAGGAAGGUGGGGAUGACGUCAAAUCAUCAUGCCCCUUAUGUCUUGGGCUUCACGCAUGCUACAAUGGCCGGUACAAAGGGUUGCGAUACUGUGAGGUGGAGCUAAUCCCAAAAAGCCGGUCUCAGUUCGGAUUGAGGUCUGCAACUCGACCUCAUGAAGUCGGAGUCGCUAGUAAUCGCAGAUCAGCAACGCUGCGGUGAAUACGUUCCCGGGCCUUGUACACACCGCCCGUCAAGUCACGAAAGUUGGUAACACCCGAAGCCGGUGGCCUAACCCCUUGUGGGAGGGAGCCGUCGAA
rnacentral:rRNA from 1 species